rnacentral:rRNA from 1 species
UACGAAGGGGGCUAGCGUUGCUCGGAAUGACUGGGCGUAAAGGGCGCGUAGGCGGCCAACUAAGUCAGACGUGAAAUCCCUCGGCUUAACCGGGGAACUGCGUCUGAUACUGGAUGGCUUGAGGUUGGGAGAGGGAUGCGGAAUUCCAGGUGUAGCGGUGAAAUGCGUAGAUAUCUGGAGGAACACCGGUGGCGAAGGCGGCAUCCUGGACCAAUUCUGACGCUGAGGAGCGAAAGCCAGGGGAGCAAACGGG